AUCAAUAUAUGUAUAUACCAAGUGAGGCCACAGAAGUUAUAGAAGGAAAUCACCCUCUGGUUAAUUGACCAGUUGCAGGCACAGUAGGAAUUAGUAACUUGCAUGUAACUGAAACUUCAUAUUAAAUUCAGAAGCAUAAUAUUGAGAAAAUUAUUGGUUUAUUCAUUUCAAAACAGAUAAGAUACAGGGCUAAUGGAUCACUUGUACUCCAUGGAAUUACAGGCACAUUUGGAGGAGGACACAAGACUGGUAUUGUUGGCAGGACAGAAGUGGGAAGUCCAGUCUUAUUAGUUCUUUAUUUCGCCUUGUCGAGCUGGCCGAUGGAAGGAUUGUAGUGGAUGGCACAGACAUAUCCUCGAUCGGCCUUCAUGAUUUGAGGUCGCAUUUAGGUGUUAUACUUGACAGAGCAAUUGGUACAUGUUUUGGGAUUUUUGAAUUUAUUCUGAUAGUGAUCUUGGGAUAUUUUUUUACUAUUUUGUUUAUGUUUUCACCGGAGAUCCCGUGCUCCUCUGGAAGAGCCCCUUCUUCCCACACAAGAAUUCAUUCGCCGCGUCGUCCAAAACAGCCACGAAAACGAUCACAAUUUCACCACGAAUGCGUGGCUUUCCGCCUUCCAUUUCCUUCAUUCCCUGGACAGAGAGAGUGAUUCUGUGACACCUUUGAACUCAAUCAAGAAGCAUCUCAAUGUCGUGAGAGUGCCUCUGAUCGUAGCUAUUAUCAAAUCGUGAACUCCCAAUGGUUUUGGAGACAUGAUGGUCACCCUCAAGGACCCUACAAGAACAAUUAGUGCCAGGGUUCACCAUAAAGCCGCCUCCGACGGUGAAUAUGGGAAGGAUAUAACUGUUGGUUCAGUUGUAGUCCUCCAAAAGGUGGCUGUAUUUGCUCCCACUCGCUCGACUUGUUAUCUCAACAUAACAUUGCGUAACAUACUCAAGGUUUGGGAUCAUCUAUGUUUUGGUCUCAACUUUUUAUCCUUUAUUCUCUCUAUGUAGAAACAUGGGUUUUCCAUUUCUCAGCAUAUACCAACCGUUGAGUUGAGCUAAAUUGCUCUCAGACAUGUGUCAUACAAGGGUAGAAAAUUUCACGGAUUGGGUUUACGGUAUUAGGACUUGGGAUUUGGACUUGUAUAAAAAUAAUUAUAUAGAAAAGCUAAUUUGCAAAAGUUUAACCUCCAUAUUUAACACUCGUACCUUAACUAAGGGUUAGUUAGUUUGGAAACUUAAAAAAUGAGGUUGAAAUUUCCAUGGGUGAGUUUGAUGUCUAAAUUUAUCUAUCGAUCUCCUCCAUUAAACUUUUACCUGCCAACCUAUCAUCCCGUUAGUGCGGAAUGUUAAUGGAUUGGCUUCAUGACUAAAGAAACUACUCAGUUAUGUGACUAGAUUGUGAUAAUUGGAUCCAGACUCAUUCCUUUUUCCUUGUAGAAUGAGGUCAUUUAUAUGCUUCUGAUUGCUUGUGCUAUACAAAGUUUUUGCAAGGACAGGGAACUUCCAACAGGAUAAAUUCAUCCUUCUAUCUCCGCGAGGCAGACUACACCAGAUAUGGGUAUUUACUUAAUGUUUAUAUGUCAGCGAUAUAGCUCAAGUUCCUUAAUUUGAUCCUUCUUUGCCUUCGAAAUUGGUGAUUCCCCUUCACUUCAAUGGCUAACCAACAAGAUUGAGGUCCUAGAAAAUCCAUAUCUGCUCAUUUGUUGUCUGCCUUUUGCCACAAAAAGGCAUGAAGAACCAAGGACGCUGGGCAAUACAUUCUCCCUGUCAGAGAAGGAAAGAAGUGAAUAUCAUAGAUUAGAAUGAAUGCUCGUUGCAAAAGAAGGGCAUGAAAAGUCAAGGAUGCUUACUGAGACAUUCUCUCUGCCACCAGAAAGAACUGAAGGAAUCGUGAUUGGUAAUAGGUUAGGUUCAAGGUUUCUUACAGAAGAAAGACAUGAAGAGCCACGGAUGAUGAACAAUACAUUUGCUCUACCACAAGAAAGAACUGAAGGAAUCAUGACUAACCCCAGCUUAGGCUCAAAGUUUAUAGAAGGAGUAGAUAUU